AAAAAUAAAUAGCAAAACUAUAACUAAAAGGCCAAACCUCUUGUACUUGGUCCAUAACCCUUGCAUCUUGUUCCCUCUCCAAACUUCUGACAGCUCUUUAGAACAGUGAGAUUCCAGGAUGGAUGUGAAGGUGCUAAUAGGCGGCAGACACACAGGAGGCCCGCGGCCAGUCUGAGUUGAAGCUGGAUGGGAACAGGUGCCCCUCGGGUCUCUAGAUGGUGUGUGAUCAUUAGAGCGAAAAACCAAAGUCGUCUCUGUCUUUUCCAAAGGAUGAGCUCAGCGUGUGACAAAGAUAGCAGCCUGCGUUUAAAUGACAACCACCAGCAAUCAGCCUUUAUGAGCCUGAGGGUCUGGGGAACAUCCGGGCAGCGCCCGGGCGGGCUGGUGGAAACUGGACUGGGCAGGUGGUGGGGGUCCUCAGGUCCAGGACAUAAAGACCAGCCCCCUGCCAACGAGCAACACGCUCUUUGGGCGUGGAUUCGGAGGCAUCUCAGGGUUCUCUGUUAAAGGCUUGGACACGCUCAUCUGCGAGCAAGGAAAUAGGACACACUUUGGAAAAAGCACCUGUGCCCUCUGUCCCCCACGGGAUUCGUUACGGUGAUCGUCAUUUCACCAGCUCCCUGGGCAGUCCCUGCAGGCACUCACAGCUCGGUGUCCACGCAGUAGUGUCCUGAUGGAGGCUGGCUCACCCUUCUUGCCCUCCUGCCCUGCUCACCCAGCUGCCUGCCUGUUACAGCUCAGGCACCAGAAAGAGACCCCUGUCCAGGUUCAAGGGGCCGGGCCGCUUCCCCUCCCCAGGCCUCGGUGAUCCUCAGCAGCGAAGCAGGCCAGUGAACGCAGUGAAAGUGGCCUGCGUGGCACGGUUACUUGGGAGGAGGGGGAGGAACCGGUGUGGAAGGGUUUUGUUCAAGCACCGCGUGGGGACGGAGGGACGUCUUCCAGAUCUGGGCAGCCAGAGCUGACCUCGCCUCUGACUGCCCAUCCCGGUGCUCCAGCGGCCUGCCCACCCGUCCUCGAUACCCUCCUCUCCUCUCGUGUAACAGCUCAAGGUUGGUAGAAAAACAGUGGACCUGUCUGAGCUCUGCCAGCUGAGUGAUCUCAGCCUGGUUCAUUGCCAUCUCUGGGCCUCUGUAACGUCUUCUGUAAAAUGGAGGAGCAGGUUUCUUCUAAUUCUCCUUUUCAAUUCAGAACAACUCUAAGAAGGAUAACUAACACACACAGAGUGGGCUUUGCCAAGAUGGACUCAUUCAAGCCUCACAAUCCAGAGAGCACAGUGCCCACAACAGAGAGAGGAGGCGACCGAGGCGGCGAAAGAAUCAGGUACCUUGCUCAACAUGCCUACAUGGUAGAGGUGGGGUUUGUACCCAUGCAGUCGGUCAUUCUGGCCCUCCGUGCCAGCAUCCUCCCUGCACAGCCCGGUGGAAGAGGGCUUGGUCACUGGAGCUGGACUGCGUGCCUGAUGGGACCCUGGGCAUAUUGCUUCUCCUUUCUGUGCCUCUGUUUGCCUGUCUAUAAAGUGACUAUGAGAAUACCCCUCCUUUCCUCAUGGGGUUGCAGGGAACUCUGCCGCGGGCUCCAUGGGCCAGGCCCUGAGCUGCCCCCGAGAAUUUCAGUUUGGCCUGAAUCCUCCCCUCCGGCGGCCAAGGAAACCGGAGAGAGAGGUUGAGUCACAUGCCCAGGUGGCACUACCUUGCGGAGCUGGGGCUGAAACCUAAAUGCCAUGACUUCAAAGUCCAUGCUUUUAACCACCCUGCACCACUUCCAGGUGAUGCCUUCAAAUUCCACCUUCAAAAUCAAACUCUGGACUGCAAAUUAGCUCCCCUCCCAGGCAGCCUGACUCACCACCAGCAUGGGCCUGAACCCCGCACCUUGUCGUUGACUCACCCCUUCCUGGCCAGUCCCAGCAUCAUGACUAACUGACCCCUGGAUGGAAAAACCACUCCAAGCCCUCCCUUCCUCCUCAGCCCUGCUGCCUGCCCCAGUCCAGACCCCAAAGCCGGGGUUGGUGGCUACUAGGUACCCCCAUUCCCAAGCGUAGCCUUGCAAAGGGACUGGACAGAAAUGCUCCUGGUCCCCCAGCCUUCCCAGACUACGGGGCUAAGGAGUCGUAGGGAGCGCUCUUUAGAGACAGCUGGCAUCGCUCCCCAACCUCAAGCCAAGGGAGGGGACUUCAGAGAGCAUGGUAUGUGUCCCCUGGGAUUCAGGAGGUAAGACAAGUAGGGACAAAGCCUAGCCUAAGUCCCCUGUUUCCACGAGGCAGGGACUGAGCUGCUUGGGGGACAGUCCGCACUCCCAGCAUUUGGGGGCCAGGAUGCAAGCACGUUUUCUGGGGCCCCAGGGGGAUCCUUCUAGGAUGCGGCUGGUCUGAGGUCAUUUGAAGUUAGGAUCCAGCCCCAAAAGGUUUGGGAGUGGGGAGAAACAAGAAAAGGACACGUGAUCCUAUCAGACUUCAUAUUUGGUGCCACUCCCCUGAUGACAGCUCUUGAAGGGGGUUGAGUGCUGGCCAGAGGAUGCUUUGCCCAGGUGGGUCAUCACUGGGGCUUGGGGGGAGGCAUCUCUGAAGAACCCACGAAAGUGCCCCUAAUGAGAAAGAGGCAGCUCCCAGGCACCUCACCCGACUCACCUGAGAUCAUUGGCUCUCCUGAGAACACCUGAACCAGCCAAGUCAGACCCAUCUUGUCCCCUCCCUCUCCUCCCUGCCCCAAGCAAAUAACAUAAAAUGAUAAAGCCCCAAAGUAACUAAACAAGCUAGAUACGCCUGAGAUCUCAUCCAGCGGUAGGGAUGCUUGGAUCAACACCACAGGUUAAAGGCAGCCACCGAGAAAGAGUGAAAUUAUUUCCACCAGCUGCCUGCCAAGCACCGCUCAUUCUGAGUUUCUCGCCUGCCGCAGCCUCUUAACAGGCCCUUUUGCUUUCUUCCCCUGUUCCUGCCCUGCCCUUGAACCGCAUCCCCCGUCCGCCAGGCUGAGGUCCGCCAGAACAGCCUUCCCUGAACUGUGCUUCCAUCCGGAGAGAUGGGCAUAUCCUAGGGGUCAUGAGCUUGAAUGUCUGUGUUUGAAUCUUAGCUCCUCGACGUGGUGGCUGAGUGACCUGAAACAAGUUGCUUAACCUCUCUGUGCUUCAGCAUCACUGCCUGCAACAUGGGGAUCGCGAUAACACGGGCUUCCCCCUGCAGAUGCACUGUCUGCAGAAUCCUGGGCAUCAUCAGAAAACUGCCUUUUUUAUGGAAGCUGGUGGCCACCUGCCCUGAAGGUCCAUCGUGCAUGAAGCAAACACACCCUGAACACCUGCUGGGUGCCAGUGACCCAGAUAUGAAGCAGACACGAUACCAGACCUCAAGAAGUUCCAGAACUUGUGGGGAAAUGCACGUUACAGAUCCUUGCAGUGGAACUUGGUGCUGGGACCACUGCAGUUCCGGGGCCAGGGAUCAAACCCGCACCACAAGAGUGACAACACCAGAUCCACCGGGAGCUCCCACAUUGCAGCUUUUGUUGGUUGGGUGGUGGAUUGGAGCAGUUUGCGGUUUACAGCAUACUGAGCCGAAGGUACAGAGACUUCCCACACGCCCUCCUGCCCCUACACAUGCGUAGCCUCUGCAUCUGAGUGGUACAUUUGUUGCAAUCAAUGAACCUACAUGGCCACAUCAUUAUCGCCAGUGUCCCUAGUUAUAUCAGGGUUCCCUCUUGGUGUUGGACAGUCUGAGUUUAGAUGCAUGUGUAAUGACAUGUGUGCACCAUUAUGGUACAAUGAGAGUCGCCUGCCUGCCCUAAAAAUCCUCUGCUCCACCUGUUCAUCCUUCUCGCCCCCAUAAUCCCUGGCACCUGCUGAUCUUUUCACUGUUUCCAUAGUUUUGCUUUUCCCAGAGUGUCACAUAGCUGGAAUCAUACAGCAUGUAGCCUUUUCAGACUGGCUUCUUUCACUGAGGGAUAUGCAGUUAAGGUUCCUCUGUGGGUUUUCAUGGCUUGAUGGCUCGUUUCUUUCUAUUGCUGAAUAACAUUCCAUCAUCUGGA